AACGUAGGAAGCGAGCGUUAUCCGGAUUUACUGGGCGUAAAGCGUGUGUAGGCGGUUUGAUAAGUUGGAUGUGAAAGCUCCUGGCUUAACUGGGAGAGGUCGUUCAAAACUAUCAGACUUGAGAGUGGUAGAGGGAGGUGGAAUUCCGGGUGUAGUGGUGAAAUGCGUAGAUAUCCGGAGGAACACCAGUGGCGAAAGCGGCCUCCUGGCCCAUUUCUGACGCUCAGACACGAAAGCUAAGGUAGCAAACGGGAUUAGAGACCCCGGUAGUCUUAGCUGUAAACGAUGUGAACUUAGUGUCGGUGGGUUUAAAUCCAUCGGUACUGAAGCUAACGCGAUAAGUUCACCGCCUGGGGACUACGGCCGCAAGGUUAAA
rnacentral:rRNA from 1 species